rnacentral:snRNA from 1 species
GGAAGUGAGGGCAAUCUGGCUGUGACAUCUGUCACCCCAUUGAUCACGAGGGUUAAUUUGGCUGAUCUGGCUAGCUAGGCCUGUGUCCCCUCCCUCCCUCAACACUCCAUGUGUGUCCUUCCAGAAGCUGUGAGCUUGGUCGAAGAGGAUGACCACUCUGAUGGAGGAGCACCAGUCUUUGGUCAAGGAAACGUAAGUAGCUGCACUCCCCUAUAACCUGCAAAUAAGCUCUCAAAGUGGCCCAGGUUGAACUGGGAUUUCUCCUCCCUCCUGAUAUUAAACAAUGACCAAGGAUAAAGGCAAGUAUUAGCCUUAAAUAUUUG